CACCCCCGCCAGUACCCCUCUGCUCCUCCUCCCCGUCGUCCUCCGCCACCCACCAUACCGGUAUCGUCGCGGGGGAAAGAUAGCAUCUUGUUGGUGCGCCUGCCGGCGGCACGUUGUGAGGAAUGGGAGCGGAGACCGUAUCGGCGGCCCUACGUUAACGGAUGGACCGGAAGGAUGAUGUUGUUGGGGGUCCUACGUUGGCGGCACGUCGUGAGGAGUGACAGUUAUGGCAGGUGCCGCUGGUAUCGGUGAGGGAGUGCGUAACUUCUCCUACAAGGAGGCAGCGAAGGGAACGGUAGCUUCAAUAGCAAAGCAGCGGCAGGUGAAGGCGUACCAGACGUAGGAGUGUCGAGGGAAAGGAGAGGACGUUCUUGGAUUCUAGACUUCUACAGUGACGUUGAUGUUCACUUUCCUAGGUUCUAGGAGUGGUUGCAUGAACGAACUACGAAAUGUUAAUGACGAUGCGAACAUCUAUAUAUCUAUAUGAACCGAACUUCAACUUAAAGAUGAUCACAACAACCGAACAACGACAUGAGAAAGUACCCAUAACAGGUUAUCAUUAUAAGGUACCCAUUACAAGUUAUCGUAAAUACCUUGUCCUUUCUUACGAUAAAUAUUUUAAUUGACUGGUCCUAUGACUUCUACAGAACGAACACGACGUGUAUGUGUCCAUCAAACAAAGAAAGACAUUGAUUUUGCAACUCAAAUGACUUAGAACACAGAAAGACAUUGACUUUGCAACGCAAAUGACUUAGAACAAAGAAAGACAUGUGACCGAUCACUAGGAGCCGACAUGUAUAUGACGUCAUCAAACACAGAAAGAUGCUGACUCUCUUCAUCUGUUUGUAGUAGCCGACGUGAUUUAUCACAAUAAAGCAUGCUUACAUAACUACAAAGGGACAGUUCAACCGGAUACACCCACAUACGGUACCGGUCCCUGACCACAGUUGACUGUGUUCAGUAUAGAACGUUAAAGAAGUAUUUAGACACAAUUAAUGACAGGUAUAUGCAUACGACUGGGGAAACGUUACUUCCGACUGUGAUAUCAUCAAAAACAGAUCGAAGCAGGGACCGGUACCGCCGACGCUGGUGCUGGUGUUGAGGACAUAAAAACAUAAAACCUCACAGGGUGCAAAACACAUUUAUCAGGGUUCAAAAGAAAAACUGAUACAUUUUAUAAUGGUUCAAUUAUAGUCUUGGUGACAGGAUAUGACUUGGUAUGACGGUGUAAGUCGCAUAAACUGGAACCAUCAAACGAAUGGUGUAAGUCCGAUGUAAACUAAAGUAAAUUAGAGAUUUCGGAUCGAAUAAAAACGAAUGUUGUCGAAGACAUAUCUGAACUUAUCUAUAAAAAGGCCAGUGAAAAAAUACGGACGAAAUUCAUGGCGUAAAGAAGACUUUAACUGACUUUAAUACUAUAAUGAAUGUCCUCCCGUGCCACUACUUAAGUUGCGUUAUAGGACGAUUAUCGUCUAGCUCAUGUUAUGUGCCGUUGAACUAUUAUUAUAAAUACAAGUGAAGUUAUCGAUCCCUACGCAGUCCAUUACACGUGCGAAGUCUCCUUUCUCUACUACGUGUAAUGAGGAAAGACGUUCAUUUCUUUCCUAAACAAGGGUAUUGUUCCUACCUUUCAUAAACGGUUUUUUUUGUUCCUACCUUUCAUAUUGUCGAAUGUUUUUGGUUGCACCUGUUGUGUCUAGACCUUGAGCUCAUUUAGUAUGAGUGUUUAUUCAAAAACUCUUCUCUCUGAACCUUUGGUCUCUUCUCCUCGCUUCUAGUUCUGAUCUUAAACUUUUUUUUGUACUACCGUUUCAAAUGUCUUAACUCGGUUGUCUACCCUUGGGUUGUCGACUAAUGUAAGUAUACGAACACUGGAACAUUCUAAAUACAACGAAUUAACGUAACGAUUUUCACGUGAAGAUAAAAGUCCACGAUUGCUUCUCCUAAUUGUUUCCUUUAUCAUAGGUUUGAACGUUUUAUGAGAAAAUGUAUCUAGAUGAGGAUUAUUCUGAGGUCAACGUUCCGGUUGACAAUAAAGAAGUUUACGAGAGUAUGUUCAACGUUGCUCCUUAAGAGCUUACAAAUUUCGUUACCUAGGUUUCUUGAUCGACCUGACCUGAGAUCUAGUACCUGUCAAAUCAAACCGUGAAUUAAUCCUACCGAUUUAAUGUAGACUCAAAGUAAACUACCUAUAAACGAUACUCUUAAUACUUAAAUACUUACAUGUAUAAUAUACAUACCAAACCUUAUAACAUUAACUUACGGACAUAAAAAAAUGCCAACGUUACCCGAUAAUGGUGUUGGUUGAAAACCAACUUUAUCUCAUAGCGGUACUUUUCA
rnacentral:rRNA from 1 species